rnacentral:rRNA from 1 species
UACGUAGGGGGCGAGCGUUGUCCGGAAUCAUUGGGCGUAAAGCGCGUGUAGGCGGCUCGGUAAGUCCGGUGUGAAACCUUGGGGCUCAACCCCAAGCCUGCACUGGAUACUGUCGAGCUCGAGUCCGGGAGGGGAGAGCGGAAUUCCUAGUGUAGCGGUGAAAUGCGCAGAUAUUAGGAAGAACACCGGUGGCGAAGGCGGCUCUCUGGAACGGUACUGACGCUGAGACGCGAAAGCGUGGGGAGCGAACGGG